UACAGAGGCCUCGAGCGUUGUUCGGAAUUACUGGGCGUAAAGGGAAUGUAGGUGGUUAUGUAAGUCAGAUGUGAAAGCCCUGGGCUUAACCCGGGAAGUGCAUUUGAUACUGCAUAGCUGGAGUGCGAGAGAGGAAAGCGGAAUUCCAGGUGUAGGGGUGAAAUCCGUAGAUAUCUGGAGGAAUACCGAUGGCGAAGGCAGCUUUCUGGCUCGUAACUGACACUGAGAUUCGAAAGCAUGGGUAGCAAACAGG
rnacentral:rRNA from 1 species